CCUACGGGAGGCAGCAGUGAGGAAUAUUGGUCAAUGGACGAGAGUCUGAACCAGCCAAGUAGCGUGAAGGAUGACUGCCCUAUGGGUUGUAAACUUCUUUUAUAAAGGAAUAAAACGAGGCACGUGUGCCUUUUUGCAUGUACUUUAUGAAUAAGGAUCGGCUAACUCCGUGCCAGCAGCCGCGGUAAUACGGAGGAUCCGAGCGUUAUCCGGAUUUAUUGGGUUUAAAGGGAGCGUAGAUGGGUUGUUAAGUCAGUUGUGAAAGUUUGCGGCUCAACCCCGGCGAGCCGUUGAAACUGGCUGUCGUGAGAUGUCGAGAGGUAUGCGGAAUGCGCAGUGUAGCGGUGAAAUGCUUAGAUAUUGCGCAGAACUCCGAUUGCGAAGGCAGCAUACCGGCGGCGAUCUGACGCUGAGGCACGAAAGCGUGGGUAUCGAACAGGAUUAGAUACCCGAGUAGUC
rnacentral:rRNA from 1 species